AACCUUAUGGACCUGCGGGCGUAUACCUGCGGAGGGAUCAUUACAAGUGACCCCGGUCUAACCACCGGGAUGUUCAUAACCCUUUGUUGUCCGACUCUGUUGCCUCCGGGGCGACUCUGCCUUCGGGCGGGGGCUCCGGGUGGACACUUCAAACUCUUGCGUAACUUUGCAGUCUGAGUAAACUUAAUUAAUAAAUUAAAACUUUCAACAACGGAUCU
rnacentral:misc_RNA from 1 species